rnacentral:rRNA from 2 species
UACGGAGGGUGCAAGCGUUAUCCGGAUUCACUGGGUUUAAAGGGUGCGUAGGUGGGCAGGUAAGUCAGUGGUGAAAUCUCCGAGCUUAACUCGGAAACUGCCGUUGAUACUAUUUGUCUUGAAUAUUGUGGAGGUAAGCGGAAUAUGUCAUGUAGCGGUGAAAUGCUUAGAUAUGACAUAGAACACCAAUUGCGAAGGCAGCUUACUACACAAUUAUUGACGCUGAGGCACGAAAGCGUGGGGAUCAAACAGG